rnacentral:rRNA from 1 species
GACGAACGCUGGAGGCGUGCUUAACACAUGCAAGUCGAACGAUGAAAUGGAGCUUGCUCCAUGGAUUAGUGGCGAAUGGGUGAGUAACACGUGAAUAACCUGCCCUUAAUUUUGGAAUAACCCAGGGAAACCUGGGCUAAUACCGGAUAAGUAAACCUGUGGCAUCACAUGGUUUUGGAAAGUUUUUCGAUUAAGGAUGGAUUCGCGGCCUAUCAGCUUGUUGGUGAGGUAAUGGCUCACCAAGGCGACGACGGGUAGCCGGCCUGAGAGGGUGAACGGCCACACUGGGACUGAGACACGGCCCAGACUCCUACGGGAGGCAGCAGUGGGGAAUAUUGUGCAAUGGACGAAAGUCUGACGCAGUGACGCCUCGUGAGGGACGAAGGUCUUCGGAUUGUAAGCUUCUUUCAGCAGGGACGAAGCGAAAGUGACGGUACCUGCAGAAGAAGCACCGGCUAACUAUGUGCCAGCCGCCGCCGUAA